UGAAUGAAAAGCGCCUGCGCUCUGAUGCUGUGACGUCAGGGCACUGGCGACGGAGUGACGGCACACGCGAACUGACCUAUUAACCGGGAAAAUGUACUGAAGAACACAUGGCGCACAUAUCAGAUUCUUGGAUCGGCAUAUGAGAGAUGAGUUUGACCAGGACUUUGGUUUACAUAUCUGGUCGCCGUAACAAUGCUGGCACCCAGAUCUUGCUCCCCCUCCCCUCAGCAACAGUUCUGUUCCUGAUCCACUACUGUGAUUGUAACCUGUUUGAGUUGGUAUUUGUGGACGAGGAAACACCUGCAUCAGAAUGUGUCAGUGUAAGCUUUGCUGCCCUGUUGGCCACUAAGCACACCUUUACAGAUAAACAUUCGUGUCCUUACCGCUGCGACCUUCCCGUGGUUUGCGAUGACCCAGUGAUUCGAUCGGGACUUUGCUCCUCUCUGCGUUGUCUCAUCAAGAAAUGUCACGCCAACAAUCCUAAAACAAAUCUUCAUGACCUUUUGGGAUUUAGAGGAGGCAGCCUAAAAGCUUGUGCAGAGGUAUCUGGAUGGACAAAACUAUGUGAAAUAGAACUUCCUUCUUCAAUCACCAGCUUGAUCUCUACAAUCAGAUCUAAAGAAAUAAAAACCAAAGAAGCAACAAUUGAGGAUAUAGCAACGAAAGAAAAACAACUCCAAGAUUCUGGAAAAAGUAAAACUGAUCAAAAUGAAGAGACUGAAAAAGAAAUGCAAAAUGAAGUGGCCUUGCCAGAGGACCUAAUGAAGUUGGAAUGGCAUUUCAAUAAACCACCCUCAGUUCACAACGAUGACAAAAUAAAGAGGGCACUGCUGUGCCAGAUCAAACAGGAAGUGGAGUCAAUCACUGAUCCAAAGGAGUUCAGGUUCACCAGAGACAUUCCUCGUUCGCAUUGCUUGAGCAGGUUCAGAAUUAGAAAACCCCAACAGUCAAAUGAAGUGAAGUUAGACGUUCAAAACCCUGAGAUUUUACAGAAUGCAGAUAGUUCUAAUAACAAUGAAGUGAGAGUCAGUUCUGGAGUUGUAUCUGCUGGAGAGAACUUUCUCCAGAGAGACGCUACUACACGGGAUGGUGGGUGUGAUCUUUCGAUGGAGGAUCUGACGAACUUUGUGUCUAGUCUCACCAUCCAUGAAAUAAAUUUUGUCCAUCUUUACUCGGAAGGAACAGACAUCACUGUGGCUGAUCUGAUUCUGUUCACAUAUCUUUAUUUUCUGUUGCAAUCAAUAAACUUUGACAUGGUGUUGAUCAGAGAGCACCUGCCGCGGAUAUCUCAGUGGUUUAGUCACAUGAUCACUCUACCGGAGGUGAGACGAGCUGCAGUGAGCACACAAUUUGAUCUCAACAGAUUCUCAGAAUCCAGAAAAGACUCGGCAGUCUUGUUUCAUGUUCCUGAAUGGAUAAAGCCUCCCGAUCAUGAUGAAAUGGAACUGAGUCGAAGAUUGAGAGGAAAAUACAGAGCCAUUAAACCUGAUAUUACAAAGGCACUUGACAAAAUCAAGAGUGGAAACAUUGAAGUGGAGUUAGGCUGUCAUCCACGGAAGGACCAGGUACAGCUGGACUGGGAGAGUUUCCCCGCCCGGGUAGAUCCAGGACGAGAUCUCCCAAAGAAACGCCAUCAGAGAAAAUGUCAGCAGCUGGAGAAUCUGGCCACAGCAGUGCUGGCAAUCCACCGGCCCGGUGACAUCAUCGUUGACUUCUGUAGUGGAGGGGGACACCUGGGAAUUGUGAUUGCUUAUCUACUUCCAGAUUGCAAGGUCUAUUUAGUUGAGAACAAUGAAGAUUCUCUUCUUCGAGCCAGAAGUCGCAUUGAGGAUCUAAAUCUUCAAAAUGUGACAAUAUUCCAGUGCAAUCAAGACUAUUUCCAUGAGAAAUUUACCCUGGGAGUGUGUCUCCAUGCUUGUGGGGUGGCUACAGACAUGGUGCUCAAACAAUGUAUUGAAAAUGAGGCUCAGUUUGUCAUCUGUCCCUGUUGCUAUGGAGGCAUCCAGGACACCCAUUUUAUCACAUAUCCCAGGAGUCAACAUUUCAAAAAUGUUGGAAUUGAGUACAAGGAAUUUCUUACUUUGGGACAUGUUGCUGAUCAAACUGAAUUUAACAUGGCCCUUGAAGAACAAGGGAAAUACUGCAUGAAUCUAGUGGAUACGGACAGAAGCCUGUAUGCCAGGGAGCAUGGUUACAGAACAUCCCUAUGCUCAUUAAAACCUCUGUCGUGUACACCUAAAAACAACCUCAUUAUAGGCCAGAGAGACUCCUGAUAUUCAAUUAAAAAGGAGAGGACGAUGUUGAUUAAGACUCAGCACUCAUCAAAAACCUAAAUCCUCAACAGCAGCCUGUGCUGCCAAACAUAUGAAUCCCUACAUAAACAUCACCUCCCAGGAAAACAGGGUUGGACCCGAUACAGAGAUUGUCUACACUGACGAUUUCUUUGAGAAGCUGG